rnacentral:misc_RNA from 1 species
UCCUGGUUAACCCAGGCAGUCUCAUUAGAGUUCCCACCUAAUAUGUUGGCAACUAAUGAUAAGGGUUGCGCUCGUUGCGGGACUUAACCCAACACCUCACGGCACGAGCUGACGACAGCCAUGCAGCACCUGUGCACAGACCCUUUCGAGCGUUGACAUCUCUGCCAACUUCCUGUGCAUGUCAAGCCUGGGUAAGGUUCUUCGCGUUGCAUCGAAUUAAACCACAUGCUCCACUGCUUGUGCGGGUCCCCGUCAAUUCUUUUGAGUUUCAGCCUUGCGACUGUACUCCCCAGGCGGUAUACUUAUCGCGUUAGCUUCGGCACAACCAGGGUUGAGUCCAGUUACACCAAGUAUACAUCGUUUACGGCAAGGACUAC